UACAGAGGGGGCAAGCGUUGUCCGGAAUCAUUGGGCGUAAAGAGCGUGUAGGCGGCUCGGUAAGUCCGCUCUGAAAGCCCGGGGCUCAACCCCGGGAGGCGGGCGGAUACUGUCGGGCUAGAGUCCGGAAGAGGCGAGUGGAACUCCUGGUGUAGCCGUGAAAUGCGCAGAUAUCAGGAGGAACACCAAUGGCGAAGGCAGCUCGCGGGGACGGUACUGACGCUGAGACGCGAAAGCGUGGGGAGCAAACAGG
rnacentral:rRNA from 1 species